rnacentral:rRNA from 1 species
GGUUAAGUGACUAAGCGUACACGGUGGAUGCCUUGGCAGUCAGAGGCGAUGAAAGACGUAGUAACUUGCGAUAAGCCCAGAUUAGGUAGUAACAACCAUUUGAGUCUGGGAUUUCUGAAUGGGGAAACCCACGUGCAUAAGCACGUAUCCUUACCUGAAUACAUAGGGUAAGGAGGCGAACCGGGGGAACUGAAACAUCUAAGUACCCCGAGGAAAAGAAAUCAACCGAGAUUCCGAAAGUAGCGGCGAGCGAAAUUGGACUAGCCCUUAAGCUUUACACGCGUUAGACGAACGGUCUGGAAAGUCCGACGAUACAGGGUGAUAGUCCCGUAGUUGACGACGUGUGUUCAGUGAAAUCGAGUAGGGCGGGACACGUGAUAUCCUGUCUGAAUAUGGGGGGACCAUCCUCCAAGGCUAAAUACUACUGACUGACCGAUAGUGAACCAGUACCGUGAGGGAAAGGCGAAAAGAACCCCUGUGAGGGGAGUGAAAUAGAACCUGAAACCGUGUACGUACAAGCAGUAGGAGCAGGCUUUGUCCUGUGACUGCGUACCUUUUGUAUAAUGGGUCAGCGACUUAUAUUCAGUGGCAAGGUUAACCAUCUAGGGGAGCCGUAGGGAAACCGAGUCUUAACUGGGCGUUCAGUCUCUGGAUAUAGACCCGAAACCAGGUGAUCUAGCCAUGGGCAGGUUGAAGGUUGAGUAACAUCAACUGGAGGACCGAACCGACUAAUGUUGAAAAAUUAGCGGAUGACUUGUGGCUAGGGGUGAAAGGCCAAUCAAACCUGGAGAUAGCUGGUUCUCCCCGAAAGCUAUUUAGGUAGCGCCUCGGACGAAUACUACUGGGGGUAGAGCACUGUUAAGGCUAGGGGGUCAUCCCGACUUACCAACCCUUUGCAAACUCCGAAUACCAGUAAGUACUAUCCGGGAGACACACGGCGGGUGCUAACGUCCGUCGUGGAGAGGGAAACAACCCAGACCGCCAGCUAAGGUCCCAAAUUACUACUAAGUGGGAAACGAUGUGGGAAGGCUCAGACAGCCAGGAUGUUGGCUUAGAAGCAGCCAUCAUUUAAAGAAAGCGUAAUAGCUCACUGGUCGAGUCGGCCUGCGCGGAAGAUGUAACGGGGCUAAGUAGUAAACCGAAGCUGCGGCAAUAUACUUUUGUAUAUUGGGUAGGGGAGCGUUCUGUAAGCGGUUGAAGGUGUGUGGUAACGCAUGCUGGACGUAUCAGAAGUGCGAAUGCUGACAUGAGUAACGAUAAAGGGGGUGAAAAACCUCCUCGCCGGAAGACCAAGGGUUCCUGUCCAACGUUAAUCGGGGCAGGGUAAGUCGACCCCUAAGGCGAGGCCGAAAGGCGUAGUCGAUGGGAAACGGGUUAAUAUUCCCGUACUUCUUACAAUUGCGAUGGGGGGACGGAGAAGGCUAGGUGGGCCUGGCGACGGUUGUCCAGGUUCAAGUGCGUAGGCUUAAGAGUUAGGUAAAUCCGGCUCUUUUUAAGGCUGAGACACGACGUCGAGCAUCUACGGAUGUGAAGUCAUUGAUGCCAUGCUUCCAGGAAAAGCCUCUAAGCUUCAGAUUGUAAGGAAUCGUACCCCAAACCGACACAGGUGGUCGGGUAGAGAAUACCAAGGCGCUUGAGAGAACUCGGGUGAAGGAACUAGGCAAAAUGGUACCGUAACUUCGGGAGAAGGUACGCUCUCGACGGUGAAGUCCCUCGCGGAUGGAGCUAUUGAGAGUCGCAGAUACCAGGUGGCUGCAACUGUUUAUUAAAAACACAGCACUGUGCAAAAUCGUAAGAUGACGUAUACGGUGUGACGCCUGCCCGGUGCCGGAAGGUUAAUUGAUGGGGUUAGACUUCGGUCGAAGCUCUUGAUCGAAGCCCCGGUAAACGGCGGCCGUAACUAUAACGGUCCUAAGGUAGCGAAAUUCCUUGUCGGGUAAGUUCCGACCUGCACGAAUGGCGUAAUGAUGGCCACGCUGUCUCCACCCGAGACUCAGUGAAAUUGAAAUCGCUGUGAAGAUGCAGUGUACCCGCGGCUAGACGGAAAGACCCCGUGAACCUUUACUACAGCUUGGCACUGAACAUUGACCCUACAUGUGUAGGAUAGGUGGGAGGCUUUGAAGCACGUACGCCAGUAUGUGUGGAGCCGUCCUUGAAAUACCACCCUUGUAGUGUUGAUGUUCUAACGUCGACCCCUAAUCGGGGUUGCGGACAGUGCCUGGUGGGUAGUUUGACUGGGGCGGUCUCCUCCCAAAGAGUAACGGAGGAGCACGAAGGUGGGCUAAUCACGGUUGGACAUCGUGAGGUUAGUGCAAUGGCAUAAGCCCGCUUGACUGCGAGAAUGACAAUUCGAGCAGGUGCGAAAGCAGGUCAUAGUGAUCCGGUGGUUCUGAAUGGAAGGGCCAUCGCUCAACGGAUAAAAGGUACUCCGGGGAUAACAGGCUGAUACCGCCCAAGAGUUCAUAUCGACGGCGGUGUUUGGCACCUCGAUGUCGGCUCAUCACAUCCUGGGGCUGAAGUCGGUCCCAAGGGUAUGGCUGUUCGCCAUUUAAAGUGGUACGCGAGCUGGGUUUAGAACGUCGUGAGACAGUUCGGUCCCUAUCUGCCGUGGGCGUUGGAAGAUUGAAGGGGGCUGCUCCUAGUACGAGAGGACCGGAGUGGACGAACCUCUGGUGUUCGGGUUGUGUCGCCAGACGCAUUGCCCGGUAGCUAAGUUCGGAAUCGAUAACCGCUGAAAGCAUCUAAGCGGGAAGCGAGCCCUGAGAUGAGUCUUCCCUGAUACUUUAAGUAUCCUAAAGGGUUGUCGGAGACUACGACGUUGAUAGGUCAGGUGUGUAAGUGCUGUGAGGCAUUGAGCUAACUGAUACUAAUUGCCCGUGAGGCUUAACCAU